rnacentral:rRNA from 1 species
UGAUCCUGGCUCAGGAUGAACGCUAGCGGCAGGCUUUACACAUGCAAGUCGAGGGGUAGAGUUCUUCGGAGCUUGAGACCGGCGCACGGGUGCGUAACGCGUAUGCAAUCUACCUUUUACAGAGGGAUAGCCCAGAGAAAUUUGGAUUAAUACCUCAUAGUAUAAUUGAAUGGCAUCAUUUAAUUAUUAAAGUCACAACGGUAAAAGAUGAGCAUGCGUCCCAUUAGCUAGUUGGUAAGGUAACGGCUUACCAAGGCUACGAUGGGUAGGGGUCCUGAGAGGGAGAUCCCCCACACUGGUACUGAGACACGGACCAGACUCCUACGGGAGGCAGCAGUGAGGAAUAUUGGACAAUGGGCGCAAGCCUGAUCCAGCCAUGCCGCGUGCAGGAUGACGGUCCUAUGGAUUGUAAACUGCUUUUGUACAGGAAGAAACACUGGUUCGUGAACCAGCUUGACGGUACUGUAAGAAUAA